UUACAGCCAUAUCAUGUUGAAACACCGGUUCCCGUACGAUCACCAGACUUAAGCAACGUCGGGCCUGGUCAUUAUCUAGAUGGGUGACCGCUUAGGAAUACCAAGUGCU